GUCCUACUCCCUCCGUCCAGAAAUUCUUGUCUUAGAUUUGUCUAAAUACGGAUGUAUCAAGUCAUGUUUUAGUAUUAGAUACAUCCGUAUCUAGGCAAAUCUAAGACAAGAAUUUUGGGACGGAGGGAGUAUUAU
rnacentral:pre_miRNA from 1 species